GGGUGCCCAGCGCAGGGACCGUGUCUCCGGGGGCCGCGUGCACCAUAACAGAAGCGGUUGGGGUUAUUCAAGUGUAGCUGUGAUGAAAACCGCGCAGGCUGGGUCCAUUAGGGCCCUGGCUUUGUUUACCACAGGAAGGCGAACGCUAGAGAGGAAACGCAUGCGCGUACGAGUCGACCGGGGGGGCGCGAGUAGGGCAGGGGAGCAGAUGUGCCGAGGGCGCCUGUUGCUGCUAGAGAGCAUGCGCAGUUGGCUCGCAAGGGGGGGGGGUUUAAGCCAUGUACGUAUUGCGGAUGCGCAGCAUGGUCUGUUUCUGCGCAUGCGCCCCGGGCCUCAUUCCCAGCCACGGCGCCGCGCAGUUUACAAACUGAUGGUGAGCGGCGCGUGCUGCCCCCAAGUCUCCGUCUGGCCGCUGUCCCCUAGCCACCGUCACCCGACCCCGAUCCCCCGGCAGUGAGCGGGAAGAGCGCGCGCUGUGCAGCGCAGGGGGCUCCGGGCUGUCGGCUGCCCCGGGGCGGUGGCUGGACCUGUUCUUUGUGCGGCGGCGGCAGAGCCCGGCCCAACGGCAGCGGGAGCACGCGCCGCCAUUUCCUCACGCGCCCUCGGCACAACCUCAUCCGCUGGCUGCUGCCUGAUUGGGACUAGGCGAUCUCCGGACAGGAUCAGGCUCGGACCAUGUCGACGGAAGGCGAAUCGGAGCCGAGUCUUGCUUCCAGCAUGAUGCUGAACACGGAGGGCGGCGAGGGCUUCGUGGUGAAGGUGCGCGGGCUGCCUUGGUCCUGCUCCGCCGAGGAGGUCCAGAGAUUCUUCUCCGAAUGCAAAAUUCAAAAUGGAGCUUCAGGUAUCCGUUUCAUCUAUACAAGAGAAGGCAGACCAAGUGGAGAAGCUUUUGUUGAACUUGAAACAGAAGAUGAUGUGAAAUUGGCACUGAAGAAAGACAGAGAAACAAUGGGACACAGAUAUGUUGAAGUUUUCAAGUCAAACAACGUUGAAAUGGAUUGGGUUCUGAAGCAUACUGGUCCUAACAGCCCUGAUACUGCUAAUGAUGGUUUUGUACGUCUUAGAGGACUUCCAUUUGGCUGUAGCAAAGAAGAAAUUGUACAGUUCUUUUCAGGGUUGGAAAUCGUGCCAAAUGGGAUAACAUUGCCGGUGGACUUCCAGGGGAGGAGUACGGGGGAGGCCUUCGUGCAGUUUGCUUCACAGGAAAUAGCUGAAAAGGCUCUAAAGAAACACAAGGAGAGAAUAGGGCACAGGUAUAUUGAAAUCUUCAAGAGUAGUCGAGCAGAAGUGCGUACUCAUUAUGAUCCUCCCCGCAAAUUACUGGCCAUGCAGAGGCCAGGUCCUUAUGACAGGCCUGGUGUUGGAAGGGGCUAUAACAGUCUUGGUAGAGGAAGUGGUUUUGAAAGAAUGAGACGUGGAGCUUAUGGUGGAGGUUAUGGAGGCUAUGACGACUACAAUGGAUAUAGUGAUGGCUAUGGCUUUGGUUCUGAUAGAUUUGGACGAGAUAUAGAAUGGACUCUUCUCUCCGCAGGCAUGUCUGACCAUAGAUAUGGAGAUGCAAGUUCUACUUUCCAAAGCACAACUGGUCACUGCGUACACAUGAGAGGAUUACCUUACAGAGCUACAGAGAACGACAUUUAUAAUUUCUUCUCACCUCUGAACCCUGUAAGAGUCCACAUUGAAAUUGGACCAGAUGGUAGAGUGACUGGAGAGGCAGAUGUUGAGUUUGCUACUCAUGAGGAUGCUGUGGCCGCCAUGUCCAAAGACAAAGCAAAUAUGCAACACAGAUAUGUAGAACUCUUCUUGAAUUCUACAGCAGGAGGAAGUGGUGGUGCAUAUGGCAGCCAAAUGAUGGGAGCAAUGGUCAAGGAAUCGGAAGGGGUAGUUCAAGAUUGGAACACUAGCACAUUGCCAGGAAACCAAUCCACUUAUGGUGCUAAUCAGCAGCUGAGUGGGGGUUAUGGAGCUGGCUAUGGCACUCAAAGCAGCAUGAGCGGCUAUGGUAAUCAGAGCGCAAUGAACAGUAGCUACUACAGCAGUGGGAACCGUGCAUCCAUGGGAGUGAAUGGAAUGGGCGGGAUGUCCAACAUGUCCAAUAUGAGUGCUGGCUGGGGAAUGUAACUGACUUUUGGUCAACCUUUUUUUAAAAAAAACAACAAAACAAAAAACUAAGUUUAACAGUUUUGCAAUACAAGCUUGUGAUUUAUGCUUUACUGUAAGUGAAAUCAGGAUUAUUUUAAAACUUCAGGUUCAGUAUUUUUGAACACAUGGAAGAAAUAAACAUUCACUUAGGAUGUAAUAACCAAGUUGAGUAAAGACUAUAACUGUUAAACAAUUUUCAGCUUUUUCUCAAGUUAGUUUUGUUGUAGGAGCGUAUUUAAGCAGUAAGCGUAUUUAGGUUAAAGCUGUUUCAAUUAUGUUAAAUGUUGCUCUUAUACCAUAUUACAUCCAACACUGUUUUGAAUGCAUGUUGAAAAACAUGCUUUUUUGUAAACAAAUAUAGGAGCUGUGUCUGCAAUUCAAAGUGAACAUUUGGCAUGUUAGUUCUAGUUUAUUUCUUUUAAUAUCCUGUAAGGCACGUUUAAGCUUUUUUUUAAGUUAAUGGGGAAACAUGUUGAGACGUGAUACAGCUACUUUAGGAUUUUGGUCUUGGUGUUCAUAUAAAAUUCUGAGGCCUUGAUUUAAUCUUUCAUUGUAUGGUGAUUUCCUUUUUAGGUGUAUUGCGCUAAGUGAAACUUGUUAAAUAAAUCUUCCUUUUAAAAACUA